AGUUUGUCCGCUUGGGCCGCUGUA
rnacentral:siRNA from 1 species